rnacentral:rRNA from 1 species
GUGCCAGCGCCGCGGUAAUACGGAGGGGGUUAGCGUUGUUCGGAAUUACUGGGCGUAAAGCGCACGUAGGCGGAUCAGAAAGUUGGGGGUGAGAUCCCGGGGCUCAACCCCGGAACUGCCUCCAAAACUACUGGUCUAGAGUUCGAGAGAGGUGAGUGGAAUUCCGAGUGUAGAGGUGAAAUUCGUAGAUAUUCGGAGGAAUACCAGUGGCGAAGGCGGCUCACUGGCUCGAUACUGACGCUGAGGUGCGAAAGUGUGGGGAGCAAACAGGAUUAGAAACCCCUGUAGUCC